rnacentral:rRNA from 1 species
AAGUCAGAUGUGAACGCCCGGGGCGUCAACCUCGGAAUAGCAUUUGAAACUAGGCAGACUAGAGUACUGUAGAGGGGGGUAGGAAUUUCAGGUGUAGCGGUGAAAUGCGUAGAGAUCUGAAGGAAUACCGGUGGCGAAGGCGGCCCCCUCGGACAGAUACUGACACUCAGAUGCGAAAGCGUGGGGAGCCAAACAGGAUUAGAUACCCCUGGUAG